GAUGAACGCUGGCGGCGUGCCUAAUACAUGCAAGUCGAGCGAACAGACGAGGAGCUUGCUCCUCUGACGUUAGCGGCGGACGGGUGAGUAACACGUGGAUAACCUACCUAUAAGACUGGGAUAACUUCGGGAAACCGGAGCUAAUACCGGAUAAUAUAUUGAACCGCAUGGUUCAAUAGUGAAAGACGGUUUUGCUGUCACUUAUAGAUGGAUCCGCGCCGCAUUAGCUAGUUGGUAAGGUAACGGCUUACCAAGGCAACGAUGCGUAGCCGACCUGAGAGGGUGAUCGGGCACCCUGGAACUGAGACACGGUCCAGACACCUACGGGAGGCAGCAGUAGGGAAUCUUACGCAAUGGGGGAAAGCCUGACGGAGCAACGCCGCGUGAGUGAUGAAGGUCUUCGGAUCGUAAAACUCUGUUAUUAGGGAAGAACAAAUGUGUAAGUAACUAUGCACGUCUUGACGGUACCUAAUCAGAAAGCCACGGCUAACUACGUG
rnacentral:rRNA from 1 species